CUCCCAGCUCCAGGCAAAUCUCAGGCCCAGCUCUGGGGAUGAGCCACUCGACCAGGUACAACGCGGCAAAAGCCCAAUCCAUACCCUCUCCUAGAAGAAGCUGUCAACGAAGAAGUGAGAGUGACAUCUGGUUGGUGAAGACUGAGAAAUUUCCUUUGGAUGGAGGCUCUGUCAGUGACAGCUAGUGGCCCACCAAACUGUGACAAAGCACGUACUGUGGUGUGCUGAAUGUGAAGGAUAUGGUAUUUAUACGAAUGACCUUUCCACCUCUGAAAUAUUUGAAACUGGUGACCUUCUCUUCUUGACAUGAUCCUUGACACAGUGACCCACGUUCCUGUGAAUUCUUUGCAAUGGCCACCUCUGGAAAUCAUUAGCUCCUGGGUAUGGAUGAAGAAUGCUGAGAGAUGGUUCUCCUAGGACUCUGUCUCCUGUUUUCUAGCAGUAUUCUUCUGAACUGAGAUCUUUCCAUUGAGGCAGGACAUUUCUGCUACGUCAGAAACGGGUUGGUAUUCUCUUGGGCACAUAAUUAGCA
rnacentral:lncRNA from 1 species